rnacentral:rRNA from 1 species
UGGGGAAUUUUGCACAAUGGGCGAAAGCCUGAUGCAGCAACGCCACGUGAGUGAAGAAGGCCCUUGGGUCGUAAAGCUCUUUCGGUUGGGAAGAGGGGUUCGUCGAGUAACUGCGAUGGAUCUGACGGUACCAAAAGAAGAAGCACUGGCUAAUUCCGUGCCAGCAGCCGCGGUAAUACGGAAGGUGCAAGCGUUGUUCGGAAUGACUGGGCGUAAAGAGCGCGUAGACGGAUUUGUAAGUCGGAUGUGAAAUCCCUGGGCUCAACCCAGGAACUGCACUCGAAACUACAAGUCUUGAAUGUCUGAGGGGUUAGUGGAAUUCCCGGUGUAGGAGUGAAAUCCGUAGAUAUCGGGAGGAACACCAGAGGCGAAGGCGGCUAACUGGCAGAACAUUGACGUUGAGGCGCGAAAGCGUGGGGAGCAAACAGG